rnacentral:rRNA from 1 species
UACGUAGGGUGCAAGCGUUAAUCGGAAUUACUGGGCGUAAAGCGUGCGUAGGUGGUUGUUUAAGUCUGUUGUGAAAGCCCUGGGCUCAACCUGGGAACUGCAGUGGAAACUGGACAACUAGAGUGUGGUAGAAGGGUGAGCGGAAUUCCCGGUGUAGCAGUGAAAUGCGUAGAGAUCGGGAAGAACAUCAGUGGCGAAGGCGGCCUG